AAUCCAUGUUGUGGGCACUUCUUAAGUAAUCCUUUAAAUCUCUCCUACACGUUAUACAGUGUCUCAUGGUCAUCUUGACCAUAACAAGACAUCUCUGGUUUCAGCUU